rnacentral:lncRNA from 1 species
CAUAAUCCCUACACUCUGAAAGUUUUUACAGCAGGUGUUGUUAAACUCACUGCUCAGUCUAACGAAUCUGGUAGCCCUGUGGAUGAUAAUCCGUCAUCUUCUGCUGACAUAGAUUUCUAUACUCUGUCAGAUGCAGAUAGUGAUGUUGAUACUUCUGAGGACCUUCCAAAAGUAGUAGAACAAAAAAUAGCUUUAAUUUUAUUGAAGUUAGAAAACAUUUAUCAUGUUCUAUCUACAGCAAUAGAUGGAUUACUUGAUGAACUACACUACCUGUUAAGUACUGUGUCUGCGCCUGUAACUUGUAACAGUCUUUCUGAAUUCUUCAAAAACAAAAACCUAGAAGUUGAUAGCUUAAUUCUCAAGGAACUAGCUGAUGUACUUUGUAAAUCUAACCCUUUGGUUAAGGUAAUAGGGAAAGGUGGCUCCCUUGCUACAGCUUUUAAGAGGAAGGAGUACUUCAAGGAAUUGUUUAAUGUUGUUGAGCCAGUGGAGUUCAUUCUUGAUCAAAAACAGGGCAGGACAUUUCAAUACAUUCCAUUGUUGCAGUCUUUGCAGCAGUUAUUUGGUUGUACUGAAGUGUUUAAUAGUGUCAUCAAUAGCCACAAAUUACAGGGAAGUAAUACACAGCAGCAAGGGAACCAGCAGUAUAGCUCUAUAAGAGACGAUGUGUACUCUUUCUUGUCAGGUGAUGAGUUGAAAAUUUGUUUAACCUUAUACGUAGAUGAUUUUGAACUAUGUAAUCCCCUGGGCACAUCGCGAAAGAAACACAAAUUAUGUAGUGUAUACUGGAUUCUGAGUAACUUGCCACCAGGCUCUCAUUCAGCACUCUCUUCAGUUUAUCUGACAGUUUUGUGCAAGAGUGAUGAUGUAAAGGUAUAUGGCUAUGGUAAAAUAUUAGAGCUAGUUUUGCAAGACCUUUUUACUUUAGAAGAGCAUGGUGUGUUCAUCUCAAAGCUUGGAAAGUGUGUUAAAGGAACAGAACACAGUGUUAUAGCUGACAAUUUGGGAGCCCACUCACUGGCUGGUUUUGUUGAGCGCUUUUCCACACAUUAUAUUUGUAGAUUUUGUACUGCUGCUAAAUUAGAUAUUCCAAGAAAGGAUGUUCAGUCAGGUGCAUACCAAAGAAACAUACAAAGCACAUGUAAAGUCUGCACAGGAAACUGA